rnacentral:ncRNA from 1 species
AGGAGCUGGUACUAAUAUACUAGUCUGUGCCUAAGUUCUCACGAGUGGUACACUCGUUUUCAGCUUAGGAACACCACAGCUGGCACCACCGCUCCA